rnacentral:rRNA from 1 species
AGCCUGCGGUAGGGUAUUGGCCUACCGUGGCAAUGACGGGUAACGGGGAAUUAGGGUUCGAUUCCGGAGAGGGAGCCUGAGAAACGGCUACCACAUCUAAGGAAGGCAGCAGGCGCGCAAAUUACCCAAUCCUAAUACAGGGAGGUAGUGACAAGAAAUAACAAUACAGGACUUUUUGGUUUUGUAAUUGGAAUGAGUUAAGUAUAAACCCCUUUACAAGUAUCAAUUGGAGGGCAAGUCUGGUGCCAGCAGCCGCGGUAAUUCCAGCUCCAAUAGCGUAUAUUAAAGUUGUUGCAGUUAAAAAGCUCGUAGUUGGAUUUCUGUUAAUAAUUUAUAUAAAAUAUUUUGAAUAUUUAUAUAACAUUAACAUAAUUCAUAUUACUAUAUUUUUUAGUAUAUGAAAUUUUACUUUGAGAAAAUUAGAGUGCUUAAAGCAGGCAUAUGCCUUGAAUACUCCAGCAUGGAAUAAUAUUAAAGAUUUUUAUCUUUCUUAUUGGUUCUAAGAUAAGAAUAAUGAUUAAUAGGGACAGUUGGGGGCAUUUGUAUUUAACAGUCAGAG